GCGACAGGCUUAACACAUGCAAGUCGAGGGGCAGCACAGGUAGCAAUACCGGGUGGCGACCGGCGCACGGGUGAGUAACGCGUAUGCAACUUACCUAUCAGAGGGGGAUAACCCGGCGAAAGUCGGACUAAUACCGCAUGAAGCAGGGGUCCCGCAUGGGGAUAUUUGCUAAAGAUUCAUCGCUGAUAGAUAGGCAUGCGUUCCAUUAGGCAGUUGGCGGGGUAACGGCCCACCAAACCGACGAUGGAUAGGGGUUCUGAGAGGAAGGUCCCCCACAUUGGUACUGAGACACGGACCAAACUCCUACGGGAGGCAGCAGUGAGGAAUAUUGGUCAAUGGCCGAGAGGCUGAACCAGCCAAGUCGCGUGAGGGAUGAAGGUUCUAUGGAUCGUAAACCUCUUUUAUAAGGGAAUAAAGUGCGGGACGUGUCCCGUUUUGUAUGUACCUUAUGAAUAAGGAUCGGCUAACUCCGUGCCAGCAGCCGCGGUAAUACGGAGGAUCCGAGCGUUAUCCGGAUUUAUUGGGUUUAAAGGGUGCGUAGGCGGCCUUUUAAGUCAGCGGUGAAAGUCUGUGGCUCAACCAUAGAAUUGCCGUUGAAACUGGGGGGCUUGAGUAUGUUUGAGGCAGGCGGAAUGCGUGGUGUAGCGGUGAAAUGCAUAGAUAUCACGCAGAACCCCGAUUGCGAAGGCAGCCUGCCAAGCCAUUACUGACGCUGAUGCACGAAAGCGUGGGGAUCAAACAGGAUUAGAUACCCUGGUAGUCCACGCAGUAAACGAUGAUCACUAGCUGUUUGCGAUACACUGUAAGCGGCACAGCGAAAGCGUUAAGUGAUCCACCUGGGGAGUACGCCGGCAACGGUGAAACUCAAAGGAAUUGACGGGGGCCCGCACAAGCGGAGGAACAUGUGGUUUAAUUCGAUGAUACGCGAGGAGCCUUACCCGGGUUUGAACGCAUUCGGACCGAGGUGGAAACACCUUUUCUAGCAAUAGCCGUUUGCGAGGUGCUGCAUGGUUGUCGUCAGCUCGUGCCGUGAGGUGUCGGCUUAAGUGCCAUAACGAGCGCAACCCUUGCCACUAGUUACUAACAGGUAAAGCUGAGGACUCUGGUGGGACUGCCAGCGUAAGCUGCGAGGAAGGCGGGGAUGACGUCAAAUCAGCACGGCCCUUACAUCCGGGGCGACACACGUGUUACAAUGGCGUGGACAAAGGGAAGCCACCUGGCGACAGGGAGCGAAUCCCCAAACCACGUCUCAGUUCGGAUCGGAGUCUGCAACCCGACUCCGUGAAGCUGGAUUCGCUAGUAAUCGCGCAUCAGCCAUGGCGCGGUGAAUACGUUCCCGGGCCUUGUACACACCGCCCGUCAAGCCAUGGGAGCCGGGGGUACCUGAAGUCCGUAACCGCGAGGAUCGGCCUAGGGUAAAACUGGUGACUGGGGCUAAGAC
rnacentral:rRNA from 1 species